AUGAGUUACAGACGCGAUGUUGGUAUUUGAUACCGAAGAUACUCAUGAGCUGAAAGGGAAGAGAGACCGGCCGAGUGAUAGAGCUCCGUGAUAGUAGGGAGCUGAGACCCUGAUACACAGGGUGAAUUUUUGGACUAGGGGAGAUGUAAUUCCCCUAAAGUUGAAUAGUAAUUUUUAGU